UCGGGAAUAUUGCGCAAUGGAGGAAACUCUGACGCAGUGACGCCGCGUAUAGGAAGAAGUUUUUCGGAAUGUAAACUAUUGUCGUUAGGGAAGAGAAAGGACAGUACCUAAGGAGGAAGCUCCGGCUAACUACGUGCCAGCAGCCGCGGUAAUACGUAGGGAGCGAGCGUUAUCCGGAAUUAUUGGGUGUAAAGGGUGCGUAGACGGGAAAGCAAGUUAGUUGUGAAAUCCCUCGGCUUAACUGAGGAACUGCAACUAAAACUACUUUUCUUGAGUGCAGGAGAGGUAAGUGGAAUUCCUAGU
rnacentral:rRNA from 1 species